CCUACGGGAGGCAGCAGUGGGGAAUAUUGCACAAUGGCGGAAACCCUGAUGCAGCGAAGCCGCGUGAGUGAAGAAGUAUUUCGGUAUGUAAAGCUCUAUCAGCAGGGAAGAAAAUGACGGUACCUGAUCAAGAAGCCUCGGCUAACUACGUUCCAGCAGCCGCGGUAAUACGUAGGGUGCAAGCGUUAUCCGGAUUUCCUGGGUGUAAAGGGAGCGUAGACGGCAGCACAAGUCUGUAGUGAAAUGCCGGGGCUUAACCCCGGAACUGCUUUGGAAACUGUGCAGCUAGAGUGCAGGUGAGGUAAGUGGAAUUCCUAGUGUAGCGGUGAAAUGCGUAGAUAGUAGGAGGAACACCAGUGGCGAAGGCGGCUUACUGGACUGUAACUGACGUUGAGGCUCGAAAGCGUGGGGAGCAAACAGGAUUAGAUACCCCGGUAGUC
rnacentral:rRNA from 1 species